GACGAACGCGGCGGCGUGCUUAACACAUGCAAGUCGAACGGAGCGAAUGAAAGCUUGCUUUUAUAAGCUUAGUGGCAAACGGGUGAGUAACACGUAGGCAACCUGCCGACAGGAUGGGGACAACAUUCCGAAAGGAAUGCUAAUACCGAAUGAAGUCGAGGGAGGGCAUCCUCCUCCGAUGAAAGAUGGCCUCUAUAUAUAAGCUAUCACCUGUCGAUGGGCCUGCGUCUGAUUAGCUGGUAGGUGAGGUAACGGCUCACCUAGGCGACGAUCAGUAGCCGGUCUGAGCUGAUGAACGGCCACAUUGGGACUGAGACACGGCCCAGACUCCUACGGGAGGCAGCAGUGGGGAAUCUUCCGCAAUGGGCGCAAGCCUGAGGGAGCAACGCCGCGUGAGUGAAGAAGGUCUUCAGAUCGUAAA
rnacentral:rRNA from 1 species